AUAAGAACAAUGAAGAGGAGCAGUAAGAAACAGAUAUUGUUGCAGAGAGUUGACGGCUGGUGAAAGUCAAUCAAGUUUGUUUCCGAACUCACCUCAGAGUUGCAGCGGUGAAAAGCCGCUGACGCAUAACUGCGUUAAAAGUAUCAAGUGAGUGCGGCGUAUGCCGCGCUAACGAGGGUGGUACCGCGGGAAAACGAAAGUCUCUCGUCCCUUUU
rnacentral:ncRNA from 2 species